rnacentral:misc_RNA from 1 species
GAUGAAGAACGUAGCGAAAUGCGAUAAGUAAUGUGAAUUGCAGAAUUCAGUGAAUCAUCGAAUCUUUGAACGCACAUUGCGCCCGCCAGUAUUCUGGCGGGCAUGCCUGUUCGAGCGUCAUUUCAACCAUCAAGCCCCCGGCUUGUGUUGGGGACCUGCGGCUGCCGCAGGCCCUGAAAACCAGUGGCGGGCUCGCUGUCACACCGAGCGUAGUAGAUUUUCAUCUCGCUCAGGGCGUGCUGCGGGUUCCGGCCGUAAAAAGCCUUAUUUACCCAAGGUUGACCUCGGAUCAGGUAGGAAGACCCGCUGAACUUAAGUAUAUCAAUAAGCGGAGGA